rnacentral:tRNA from 2 species
AGCUCUGAAGUGAUUUUCACAUUGAAUUGCAAGUUCAAAGAAGCAGCUUCAACUCUGCCGGGGCUU